CUUUGCUGACAACCAGCAUCAGGGAAAGGUGCAGAUUUUCAACUAGCAAUAAUCAUACCUCAGAUUAACUUCAUUGGUUAUGAUACUGCCACUGCGCAAAG